rnacentral:rRNA from 1 species
UAUCGGAUUGAUACUAAGCCAUGCGAGUCAUUGCAGUAAUGCAAGGCAGACGGCUCAGUAACGCGUAGUCAACCUACCCUAUGGACGGGAAUAACCUCGGGAAACUGAGUAUAAUGCCCGAUAGAACACUAUUCCUGGAAUGGUUUGUGUUCCAAAUGAUUUAUCGCCGUAGGAUGGGACUGCGGCCUAUCAGUUUGUUGGUGAGGUAAUGGCCCACCAAGACUAUUACAGGUACGGGCUCUGAGAGGAGUAGCCCGGAGAUGGGUACUGAGACACGGACCCAGGCCCUAUGGGGCGCAGCAGGCGAGAAAACUUUGCAAUGUGCGAAAGCACGACAAGGUUAAUCCGAGUGGUUUGUGCUAAACGAACCUUUUGACAGUCCUAGAAACACUGUUGAAUAAGGGUGGGCAAGUUCUGGUGUCAGCCACCGCGGUAAAACCAGCACCUCAAGUGGUCAGGAUGAUUAUUGGGCCUAAAGCAUCCGUAGCCGGCUCUGUAAGUUUUCGGUUAAAUCUGUACGCUCAACGUACAGGCUGCCGGGAAUACUGCAGAGCUAGGGAGUGGGAGAGGUAGACGGUACUCGGUAGGAAGGGGUAAAAUCCUUUGAUCUAUUGAUGACCACCUGUGGCGAAGGCGGUCUACCAGAACACGUCCGACGGUGAGGGAUGAAAGCUGGGGGAGCAAACCGGAUUAGAUACCCGGGUAGUCCCAGCUGUAAACUAUGCAAACUCAGUGAUGCAUUGGCUUGUGGCCAAUGCAGUGCUGCAGGGAAGCCGUUAAGUUUGCCGCCUGGGAAGUACGUACGCAAGUAUGAAACUUAAAGGAAUUGGCGGGGGAGCACCACAAGGGGUGAAGCCUGCGGUUCAAUUGGAUUC